rnacentral:rRNA from 1 species
AUUGAACGCUGGCGGCAGGCCUAACACAUGCAAGUCGAGCGGAGCGGCGGACGGGUGAGUAAUGCCUAGGAAUCUGCAUGGUAGUGGGGGAUAACGUCCGGAAACGGGCGCUAAUACCGCAUACUAUCAGAUGAGCCUUGGGCGGAUGAGUUAGUUGGUGGGGUACAGGCCUACCAAGGCGACGAUCCGUAACGGGUCUAAGAGGAUGAUCAGUCACAUGGGAAUUGAGACACGGUCCAGACUCCAACGGGAGGCAGAGGGGGGAAAUUUUGGACAAUGGGGGAAAGCCUGAUCCAGCAAUCCCGCGGGGGUGAAGAAGGUUUUCGGAUUGUAAAGCACUUUAAGUGGGGAGGCGUUACCAAAAGAAAAAGCAACGGCUAACUUCGUGCCAGCAGCCGCGGUAAGAC